rnacentral:rRNA from 1 species
AGAGUUUGAUCCUGGCUCAGAACGAACGCUGGCGGCGUGCUUAACACAUGCAAGUCGAACGUGAAAGGGACUUCGGUCCUGAGUAAAGUGGCGCACGGGUGAGUAACACGUGGAUAAUCUACCCGAUGGACCGGGAUAACACUUCGAAAGGGGUGCUAAUACCGGAUAAGCCCACAGGCUCUUUGGAGUUUGCGGGAAAAGGUGGGGACCUUCGGGCCUACUGUCAUUGGAUGAGUCCGCGGCCCAUUAGCUAGUUGGUAGGGUAAUGGCCUACCAAGGCAACGAUGGGUAGCUGGUCUGAGAGGAUGAUCAGCCACACUGGAACUGAGACACGGUCCAGACUCCUACGGGAGGCAGCAGUGGGGAAUUUUGCGCAAUGGGGGGAACCCUGACGCAGCAACGCCGCGUGAGUGAAGAAGGCCUUCGGGUCGUAAAGCUCUGUCGAGUGGGAAGAACAUUCUUAUGUUGAACAUGCAUAAGGACUGACGGUACCACAGAAGGAAGCACCGGCUAACUCCGUGCCAGCAGCCGCGGUAAUA